rnacentral:sRNA from 1 species
CCCUAGCCCUGAUGGGAGCGGCAUCCUUUUUCUGGCUUCUUUAGCCAGGAAAAGAUAUAGCGGACAGCAGGAAACAGC